CUUGGAGUGUCCUUUCACUUUCCCCGAACAGAAAGCCAUUUGCUAUGGAGAAGGCCGAAUGUUAUUCUGACAGAGCGCGACUCUCCCCAGGCCAGACGCGGGGCCAGUGAACGCGUUGUCUCAAGGCUCCCCUAAGCAGCAGACUUGGAGGAAGUGAUCCUGGCUUCUAGAAGAGGACA